AUUCGGCAAUGGGGGCAACCCUGACCGAGCAACGCCGCGUGGAGGAUGACGGUUUUCGGAUUGUAAACUCCUUUUCUCAGGGAAGAGCGAGGACGGUACCUGAGGAAUAAGUCACGGCUAACUACGUGCCAGCAGCCGCGGUAAUACGUAGGUGGCAAGCGUUAUCCGGAAUUACUGGGCGUAAAGCGCACGCAGGUGGCUGCUUAAGUCUGACGUGAAAGCUCCUGGCUUAACUGGGAGAGGUCGUUGGAGACUGGGCGGCUUGAGGCGAGGAGAGGGGUGUAGAAUUCCCGGUGUAGUGGUGGAAUGCGUAGAGAUCGGGAGGAAUACCAGUGGCGAAAGCGGCACCCUGGCCUUGGCCUGACGCUCAGGUGCGAAAGCGUGGGGAGCGAACGGGAUUAGAUACCCCGGUAGUCCACGCGGUAAACGAUGAAUACUAGGUGUAGGUGGUCUCAAAACUAUCUGUACCGCAGCUAACGCGAUAAGUAUUCCGCCUGGGGAGUACGACCGCAAGGUUAAACUCAAAGGAAUUGAC
rnacentral:rRNA from 1 species